rnacentral:lncRNA from 1 species
GGUCUUUAUUCCAUCUCUAUAAUUUAUCAUAUUAUCUACCAUCUUUAUCCGAUCUAACUUCUUUAAUCAUUUUUUCUGAUUGUCUCUCUAUCUUUAUUUUGAAAUUCUUUAAAGACCUAAAAAAAUAUUAGUCUUAUCAAAUAGAAGGUAUAAAUAUAUAUACCAUUAAUAAUCAUUACUAAAUGUGAUGAAAUAUUUUUACUAUAAGAAA